UGGGGAAUAUUGGACAAUGGGGGAAACCCUGAUCCAGCAAUGCCGCGUGAGUGAAGAAGGCCUUAGGGUUGUAAAGCUCUUUCGCCCGCGAAGAUAAUGACGGUAGCGGGAGAAGAAGCCCCGGCUAACUCCGUGCCAGCAGCCGCGGUAAUACGGAGGGGGCUAGCGUUGUUCGGAAUUACUGGGCGUAAAGCGUACGUAGGCGGAUGCGCAAGUUGGGGGUGAAAUCCCGGGGCUUAACCUCGGAAUUGCCCUCAAAACUGCACGUCUUGAGACCGAGAGAGGUAAGGGGAAUUCCUAGUGUAGAGGUGAAAUUCGUAGAUAUUAGGAAGAACACCAGUGGCGAAGGCGCCUUACUGGAUCGGUACUGACGCUGAGGUACGAAAGCGUGGGGAGCAAACA
rnacentral:rRNA from 1 species